GGCGGACGGGUGAGUAAUGCCUAGGAAUCUGCCUGGUAGUGGGGGAUAACGUCCGGAAACGGGCGCUAAUACCGCAUACGUCCUGAGGGAGAAAGUGGGGGAUCUUCGGACCUCACGCUAUCAGAUGAGCCUAGGUCGGAUUAGCUAGUUGGUGGGGUAAAGGCCUACCAAGGCGACGAUCCGUAACUGGUCUGAGAGGAUGAUCAGUCACACUGGAACUGAGACACGGUCCAGACUCCUACGGGAGGCAGCAGUGGGGAAUAUUGGACAAUGGGCGAAAGCCUGAUCCAGCCAUGCCGCGUGUGUGAAGAAGGUCUUCGGAUUGUAAAGCACUUUAAGUUGGGAGGAAGGGCAGUAAGUUAAUACCUUGCUGUUUGACGUACCAACAGAAUAAGCACCGG
rnacentral:rRNA from 1 species